GAGCUGGAUCUUUGCAGAAAUCCCCACCAUUUGGAGGUUGGAAGUUGUGAUUGUUGUGUCGGGAGCCAUCAAACCAGCAAAGGAGAAACCAGAGGGGAAACGCAGGAAGAGCACAGUGGCCAGUUAAGGCUCCUGUUCUCCAGGUUUGAACCACUGAAACUCUAGCAGCAAAGGGGCAUUCCAGAGAAGGAGAGAGGAAGCAGGCCAUGAAACGGGUUUGCAGCUGCAUGUGUGGUCCAUGGUUCUCCUCCAGCCAGCUGUGUGACCUUGGGCAAGUCACCCAACGCCUCUGGGCCUGCCUAGGGUAAGGGAGACUGGAAUGCUCCACAGCCCCUUCUUAUUGGCUUAAAGGGAAAAGCCAGGGAGGGCCAGAGAGGCUUCCGAGAGUUGACUGCCCAUUCCACCACCGGGAGAGCGUACUGACCACGUUCUGUUUGCACACAAUGUACUCACUGUGAUGACGUGGAGGCGGGGGUGGCAUCACACUGUGGUGCCUCCCCCAGUUUGUAUUUGGCCUUGGGAUGCUGUCAGAACGUACACCCCUUCCCUGCCCACCUCGGCUCAGUGCCAGGAGCCUUGAACCUGACUUGACAGGUGGGGAAA